rnacentral:rRNA from 1 species
GAUGAACGCUGGCGGCGUGCUUAACACAUGCAAGUCGAACGGAAAGGCUCCUGCUUGCAGGGGUACUCGAGUGGCGAACGGGUGAGUAACACGUGGGUGAUCUGCCCUGCACUUCGGGAUAAGCCUGGGAAACUGGGUCUAAUACCGGAUAGGACCUCAUUCUGGAUGGUGUGGUGGAAAGUUUUUCGGUGUGGGAUGAGCUCGCGGCCUAUCAGCUUGUUGGUGGGGUAAUGGCCUACCAAGGCGUCGACGGGUAGCCGGCCUGAGAGGGUGUACGGCCACAUUGGGACUGAGAUACGGCCCAGACUCCUACGGGAGGCAGCAGUGGGGAAUAUUGCACAAUGGGCGCAAGCCUGAUGCAGCGACGCCGCGUGGGGGAUGACGGCCUUCGGGUUGUAAACUCCUUUCGCUAGGGACGAAGCGCAAGUGACGGUACCUGGUGAAGAAGCACCGGCUAACUACGUG